rnacentral:rRNA from 1 species
UACGUAGGGUGCAAGCGUUGUCCGGAAUUAUUGGGCGUAAAGAGCUCGUAGGCGGUCUGUCGCGUCGGCUGUGAAAUCCCGAGGCUCAACCUCGGGUCUGCAGUCGAUACGGGCAAACUGGAGUGUUGCAGGGGAGACUGGAAUUCCUGGUGUAGCGGUGAAAUGCGCAGAUAUCAGGGGGAACACCGGUGGCGAAGGCGGGUCUCUGGGCAACAACUGACGCUGAGGAGCGAAAGCGUGGGGAGCGAACAGG